rnacentral:rRNA from 1 species
GUUUAAAUAACCUCAUCAACACGUCAGGUCAAGGUGCAACUUAUGAAAUGGGAAGAGAUGGGCUACACUCUCUAAUAUAGAAUAUACGAAAAACUAACUAUGAAAACUAGUUGGAAGGUGGAUUUAGAAGUAAAAAGAGAUCAGAAAACUCUUUUUAACACGGCACUGGGGUGUGUACACACCGCCCGUCACCCUCUUCGCAGCAACACAGUAGUAUUUAACACACAAAAGCACAGUAGAAGAGGUAAGUCGUAACAUGGUAAGUAUACCGGAAGGUGUGCUUGGAAA